UGAUGAUAUAUUUGGUAAGUUUAUUUAUUUAUAAUUUUGUCUUAUUAAGGAAAUAUUAUAUGAAAAAUAUAAUAGACUUUACAUUUUUCAUUCAACAUAUUUUUAAAUUAUAAUAACCGAAAUAUUUAAUAAUAAAUACGUAUGUAAAUUGACUUAUUGUUGGUUUUUGAAAAAAAAUGUGUUGGGCUUUGUUUUAGUUAGGAUUUGUCUUUUUGUCUGAUAAAAUGGGCCAGAAUUGCCCAAAGAGAGCAAAAAAAUCUGUUGCUUCAAAAUCUAUGUUUUUGUGGCCGUUUGCUUUAAAAAAAAAAAACAGAAUGGGAAAGUAAAAAAAAUUCUCGAUCCAAUUUUUCUUUGACGAAUCGACGACACGAUAUUACAGAGAUAAAGAACCGAUGGGAGAAUCAGUGGUUAGAUCUUGAUGGAUAGGGCGUUGGUGAAGAUCGAAAUUGUUGCUUGGUGAAUGUUUCUCAUGAAUCGGAAUCACGGUUGAAUAAGAUUGAUCAGUGAUUUGCUUGGUCACUUAAGAUCUCCGAGCAAAAACAACUUCCAACUUCUUAGAUGGAUGAUAACAGAGAACAGAGUCUAUAUGUUGUAUGAUGAUGAAAGACAUGAGGCAAAGUCAAACAAAACUUGGGCACCAGUAUGUAAUAACAUGUAUCCAAUCAUUCGGCAAUGAUAUAAUCUGUAAGUUACUAUUAAACAUUUUUCAGAAUUUUAGACGCUAGGAAUGGAACUGACAAUUGGUAGUUAGGAUUGAAACCGGAGUUUGAUUGAUUGAUUUGGUGUUAUUAUCUGUAGAUAGGAGAAUUAUAUUGCUUUCUGCAACGUAGAACUUUUCCUAAAGUUCAUUUUUCGUGUUAGAAAUAAUAUAUCAAAUAAUUUUAACAACAAAGAUCAUAUGUUUGUUUCUGAGGCUUCACAUCCUCACCAAAAACUCACAUUUCAAUCAAAGUAAGAAUCCUUCCCUUACUUUCAAUGUAAGUCCUUUUGCAUGUUGCAUGAAUUUUUUGCCCCUAAAACAUGUUACAUAUAAAUUUAAAAUCAGUAGCUAAUCCCAUCCUUUGUAAAUAAGACAUAAUCGAGUAAUAAAUACAGGGAAAAACGCUUACAGUCUCAUCAGCCAAGACGAAUUCCAUGGUCUCCACGGAUUGAAUGUAGUGUUUCCAAGCGUGUAGAACCUUUACAUGAACCAACCAAGUGUUUUUCCAUGGUUUCAAGUCGCCGAAGACGACCGAUUGAUCAUUAGGACCUUUCAAUGUUUGUAUUUGCAUCUUAGUAGCCAUUGUUAUGUUUUUUGUUUUCUUCGAAGGUGUGGGUUUCAAUAGAAAACCGGUGCUGCCUAUUUAUAAUAUUGAUCGGAUUCAAAGCGAUGUGUUAGGUUUUGGAGAAACUUGGGGAGAAAGUUGGAGGAUAUUUUCUUUAAUGUCUAUAAUUUAAGAUUAGUUUUGGAAAAUUCAGUUACCAUGUUAAAUAGUUAAAAUAUUUUUCUGCGUGUUCCUCAAGUUGGGGGAUUUCUUUUUUUAUUUGAUUUGAUUCCGUAAAUCUCUGAGUACGAAAUAUGAUUUUUCGCUACUGCAUGGGCCUAAGAAAACGUAAAUGUAAGUAGAAAAUAGGUUGGGCUUUUUUUGUCAAUCGAAUAACACUGAAAAUAAUUUAAAUAGGGAAUGAAAUGUUUUGUAAUUAAUAGGAAAUUUCAGGGGCAGAUUCGUAAGAAGUAUUCUGCUUUAAUAGUAUAGAUUAGGGUUUUCUAAAUUUAAGAAUUUAUUAUAAAUAGGCAUUGAAGCCUAAAGUUGUAUUCAGACUGAUAAUUAGUAAACUGGCUGUUUUGCUUUAUACCUUGUUCGAUUUGAUUAAAUUCAUCAACCAGAAAGUUGGUCUCAAGAAACUAUCGAAAGAAACUUUUGAUUGAUCUAAUAACAGGUCUCUAAGAACCCUAAAGGUUACUUGAUCGACCGUUCAACCUAUUUGUCCGCUGCAUGUAACCCCAAUUUUCGGUUGUCUGAUGCCCCCUCUCCAUACGGUAAGUUUUGAAAAAAUUAACUGAUCCCGUUACACCCAGACCUACUGAACUGUUCCGAUUCCGACUACAUGACAACCGAAACGAAAGAAGAGAGGUUUCUCGCUCGGCGCCUAAAGCGCACUAUGCUCCGUUUUAACAAAUGAGAGUUUUCGGUGGAACCGGUGAACUACGCGAGCUGGUUAGAUGUGUGGGACAGAGGGCUCGUAGUACCUGCAUCAGAGGAAGAACAAGCUGCUUCGGAUGAGAAUGCUCCGAAGAAAGCACGUUUGGAAGAGUCCAAUACUAGGACUUAAACAACCAUGUCUUCUCUUUAUCAAAUAAUGCAUUAGCAUCUCUCACUUUUCUUUUAAUCUAUUUCUUUUUUUUUUAAACUCAGUGUGGUAGUUGUUGUUUCGAUUAGUGAUAAAACAUCUUUUCAAUUUUGUUUAAAUCUAUUCCUCUUUUUUUAUUCUAAAAAACUCAGCGUGGUGGCUGUGGUUCCAAUUAGUAAUGAAAAUCAUUUACAAAAUAAAACAUUUACAUCACGUGUAUCUGUAAAGUCAGUAAUGCACUCUUGCAUAUAAUGUGAGAACUUAUUAAACCCCUAGUCUAUCUAUAUCUCUUAUAUAAUAAAGUAGAUUAUGCUCUCUCCUUAAGCUGUCCACAUCAGCAAGGAGUGAGGGGCUUUUUUAGACACGUGUACAGCUUCCCCAAAAGCUAAUCUAUAUCAUUUCGGUUUCUCUUUCGUUUGCGAAAACUCAACUCAUCAAAAUUGGCCCAUUAAAAUCGUUCAAAACGAUGAAAAUUAAAUCCUUAAUAAUGGUCCGUUAAAAUACUGCAAAUAGACUCCACAAAACAAGCAUGUAACAGGCCAUUUAAGGCCCAUCUCUACUUGCAAAGUUUCCGUCUUCUCUGUGUCCUCUUUUGCAGUGCCGAUGAGGAUUCCUCUGUGGUAACUGGUAAGUAACUGCAUCGCAUUGAAUCAUUUCAUUAAGCGCUUACAUUAACUUCCUCAAGCCACCUAUCCCACUACGUCAAGUUCAUAACCCCUCCACACCAUCGAUUUGAUAAUCCCUAAUUCCUGAUACUAUAAAUAAGUCAUGAAAUCCUCCCCUAAUAACAAUGAUUUAUUUAUCAUAUUCAUUAUUAGACAGUUUCCUUACAAAAUAAUGGUGUCCUCUUCGAUCAUGCUCCUCAGAUGGUGGUUACCGGUUACCCGACUUCUCUGUUUUUGGGAGGCAGGCAACGUCAGGAAAGUGGAGUGCUCAUGUGGAUUGACAUGCUCCUCCUUGUGAAAAGUCGGCACUUCUCCAAGGUUCCAUCUUUGCACAUCGUCUAAACAUGUUCUUUGAAAGAGGAUUUUAUUUACGACCUAAGUGGCUUUGAUGUAACGAGGGGCAACAACUACUUUAAGUUCAAAGAUUCACCUGUAGCUAUUCCAUUCAUCAACAACACUAAGUUUGUUGAACUCACUGUGGGACCACCUCCAAUACCACUUGAGCUCUUUAGGUUCCAUAGUUACGAGCAGCUACAGGCUCUGGAAAACACAAACACUGAGUUUCUCGGCCUGUUUCUGAUUUUGUAUUCAGUAAGUUCAUUUCCGGUUAACAUAACCACAUUUAUCUUAUUUUCUCUUGCAGACAUCAUAUGGGAAGUCAGUCUCAUCAAGAAAACCUGCAAUGACCCUGCUCACUCCUCAGACAAUUCAACGCAUUAUGGCAAACAUUUGUAUUGAUGGAUGCUUACUUUUCAGUCCCUGCUCUGAUGGUGAAGCUAGCUACAACACACACACUAGCAUUACCUGUGUUGCAGUCCCAAUGAACCAAACGGCUCCAUCAACUGAAACCACAACAACUGCAUAAGUCACUGUUGGCGAUAGCUCAGCAACGGAACAACAUGUUGCAGCAGAAGAGAGGGCGCUCAAGAAACCACGCAAGGCUUAGCUGCUUAAGUUACCCAUAUGAAGAGUUCUCUGCAUUUUCUGAAGUUUUAUUUGCAUUGUCUUCUUCAGCCAUCAUUAGGUUUGACAUUCAUGUUUGCAACUUAUACAAUCAAUAAAAGAAUAUUUCAAUGCUAA